AUGGAGUCUCGCUAUGUUGCCCAGGCUGGACUUGAACUCCUGUACUCAAGCCAUCCUCCCGCCUCUGCCUCUUGAAGUGCUGGGAUUACAGAACAAGGGGGAGUCUCCCUGCACAAGCUCUCUCUCUUUGCCUGCUGUCAUCCACCUAAGAUGUAACUUGCUCCUCCUUGCCUUCCACCAUGAUUGUGAGGCUUCCCCAGCCACGUGGAACUGCUUCUUGAGGAUAAACCAUGUGUGAUGCUCUUAUAAGAAGCCACAAAUACCCUGUAUGGGAUGUCACAAAUACUCAUCAGGAAGUGCUGACCAACUCAAAGGCUUAAAAUUUAACUCAUUGAUGAAUCACAGAAGAUCCAAUGACUGACUCAGAUCCACCCACUGUUCUUCAGUCCGUCCUACCCUU
rnacentral:sRNA from 1 species